CACACGAAGGCAGAAGGUUAAUCGAAUCCGUGUGCGCAAAAAAUGGUUUCACCUCUUGAUGAAACGGGCGGCGGCGGCGGUGGUUCGAUCGGGGAUCGGGCGUUUGCGGAUCGUUAUUAUCAUAAAGGGGAAAGCGAUACGCGGACAUCGUUUCGUCCCGAAGGCCGGUGGAAAGACGAUGAUACUCGCGACUGUUUGAUCGGCCUCUUCGGGCAGAGGAAAAGAAUUUCCCGUGGGUCCACGGUAGUGGAACAAAGUCCUCAAAGAAUGAAGAAUCGCCCGGCUAAAAACGUGGCAAGAGAAGUGGCGCCUUUGACCCUCAUUGUCUGCGCUCUUUGCUCGUCGCAUGCACGGCCUAAAGGACUCCGUGUUUAUCUUUUUCGCUUUCUUCUAUUCCCCCUCAGUCUCUCUCGCGACAAUACACGCAUACUUCACCUCUUCUCGCUUUCAAUCCCGUCCGACCAGAACGUACGCGUAACUAUAUACCGCGUCACGGAACCGGGGGGUUAAUACCGGCUUUGUAAUUCAAUUUACUUUAACAGUCGAUCCGUUCGAACGACUAAAAGAGAACUGUGAUCACCUGAUUAAAAUUUAAUUAUGCACGCGUUAGCGGCGUGUUAUUUUUAAGCACGACUGCACGGUCGUCAACACGUAAGGAAUGUGCAGCGUAGUUUUUAUUGGAAACACUGCGUCUGUCAAAGGACGGAUACAUUGUUGAAGGGAUUCGUCUCGUGGCCAGUGACCGAGGUGAUGGUGCGGUUUGACACAUUUAUCUAUCUAUCACAAAUACUCCGAGGAGAAGGAAACGAGACCUUCUGGUACGAAGACUGUGAAGAACAGCAGGGCAGUUACCCCAGACGUUCAGAGAAGAGGAAACGCAUAAAAUCGGGAGUUCAUCGACAAUCGUACUUGAUCAGACGACAACGAAAGAGCCAAUGUGAAACAGUUGAUGGAUGGAGAGAGUCGUUACGUAUCGGUGAGAGCAAUGGGUUGGUAAUAAGCCGACUCUUAAGGACGGCGAGGUGCCAAUUAAAACAGGCGAUUACUCCGAACCGAUCGAGCUACACGCGUCCCUUUGUACAAUCGUUUCCCGUCAAUUACUCGACAAUGGAGCACUCAGAGACACCCCGUAGAAUAGGAAAGCGAUAUCGUAAGAGAAUAGGAUUACCCGCAUGAAUGGGUUGAAGCGUGGCGGACAGCUACCGCUGCCGGGAUUGCGAUUCGAAGAUUUAAAGAGAGUUGUUUCAGGUCAUAGGGUUAAGUGAACUACCCGGUAUAAAGGGAGCAACGCGUAGGAGCCACCCUCUGUUGUCGCCGUGGCGGCACGGCACACACAGUUGUGGGAAUCCCCUAGCGUGAAACCGAAGAUCGGAAAGAGUGGGCGGGCACCCGUUCGCGAUCGUGCCGUUUGAUACCACGUGCUUCGCUGCGGUUUAAAGGCACAGGGGAACUCUGCGUCCUCUCAUUUUGAUAUCAAAGAGUUUCCCCUUUGCCGAGGAUCUCUAAAUCGAUGUUCUUUGACUUUACAAAGGUUUCGCCCGGUAACAUUCACUCUCUCUCUCUCUCCCCUCGUCCCUCUGUCGUCGUCCCCGCGGUCCGAUCCUCGUCUUCUGUUAUUCUUAACUCUUAUUUUUGUAUACUAGACUCUCCCUUGCGUGCGCUGAAAGUGACUGGUAAAAGCUUUCACUUUAUCGUCGAUAAUUGCAGAAGAGCGAGGGUCGUUGUUCAAAGAAGCUUGUUAGAUGCAAUAAACGAAAGGUCACGAAGACGCGGCGGCUCUCAUCAUUUUUUUUUUCAUAGCGCCGCCGCCGGUAGUUACGAUAUCAUUAACAUUUACUCUUUGCUCUCCGACGGAAAUUGUAAUCGCAUUAACGAUAGCGGUACGACUGUUCUUCCCGUUCGAUAGCCACUUUCCUGACGCCGGGGCGAACCGUGUAUCAACGUACCGACGUUUCACCCGGUAUGACGUAUGAAUUACGACGGCUUUUAACCCAUUUUUCUUACGGCCGAACCUACUUACGGGUAGCUCGCGGAAAAAUUUUAUUUCCCGCGCGCGCACCGGAGAGUCUCCGUUAAAUUGUUGCGGCACACGGAACGCAAAAUUUCGUGUCGAAUCAAAGCAAAUUGUGUAACUAUUAUUAGAACGCUCGGAGAAUGAGUGCGAUAGCGUUCGCAAGUAGCACGGCGACUAUACCUGACACGAUUCCGUGCGCACUUGUACGGGCUGCAUGUAAAAGCUGACGUAGCAUUACAAUUUAAAGAUCCAUGCAUAGCCGGGUGCAACUGCUUUGAAAAUGAGACGCACGAACAACAGACCGGUGAUCGAAGUCCGAUAGAGAUAAGAAAAUAAACGUAACGCUUGACACGAGUCUAUUCCCGGAAACGGCGUUAGGAACCAGCGCGGGGAAAGUCGGUGGAGAGAAGAAAAGAAAUCUGAAUUAUAGAGGCGAGACGUUGUUCCCUCGCGUGCAACAAUGGGAACGCGACGGACGAGAACGGUCGAGGGAAGAGAUGACAAUAUUAAAGAAAGCUUUAAAGAAACGUUCGCCGUAAAGGUUUAUUGGCGUGAAGGAGUUGCGGAGCGUGUCUACAUCAAAGGCGGCCGCUUCUGAACUCUAUUCCCUUUCUACUUGAAACCCCUUGCGCCGUCAUCUCGUCACCACCUCCGCUUCUAUCAACUACUACCGCUCGCCCGCUCGCCCGCUGCUGACGUCCAUUCGCUCCGGCAAGGCUGUGCACGCAACCGACAGACGCUUAGCCACGCUCACCCCCGAAUGUGUACCCUGGGCACACUUACCACGUGCGAGUUCCUGCGCCGGUGGUUAUUAACAUCCAUUACCAUGUCAAACGCGGACGCAUCGCGACGCACGAUCGAACCACCGAAUCGGUGUCCGAAAGGAAUGGUUAUUAUUUUUCCAUUUCCACCACCGCCGCUGUUAUUAAUUGCCUACCCCUUUGUCGGCCAGUUUUCAAACGAUGGAAAUACAAGCGAAUAACGGAGCUCGAGAUAAAGGAGAUCGCCAUGAAUACAUUUCGUUAAAGAAAUAGAUAUCGAAGAAAAGUCCAGGUCCUAUAGCCACUCUUCUAGAGAAAUUCAUUUCUCCGUUGUUAUCAUUGGACCGCGAAUUUUGCAAACUAAAACUCGUGGGAUACAACUAAUAAAACUGAACUAGUUUAGGCUUCUGUUAAUGCUUUGUGUUAAUAAUGAAAGGAAGUUUGUAACAAACACGUUUGACUUAAUUCAUUGACUGUCUGCGACAGUGCAUUAAAAUCGUAACGAGGCUUUGAUCUAAAUGGAUUCUCGUAUCGCGUAACAGGUAAACGCGAUUAAGAUAAUUGGUCUGGAGAUUGUGUAAUAAAUGUACCGACAAACGAAAUUCGAAAGCGAACAAAAAUGAGAAUCGGCCGAUAUACACGAGGAGCUCAAUGAACGAUGAAGCUUCACGUAUUUCACGUAAAUUAUCAAACGUUUCGUAUGAACAUUAGUAAAUGAGAUUGGCCAGAGUACGCGUCGCGAAACACCGGUACCGAAAUUAUUCCGGUGCUACGAUCGCGGUAAAAAACGGAGACUAAUUUAGUAAUGAAAUUCUCUGUUUUCCAUAUUAAACAAGGUUCAACGAUACGAUUGUCCGUAAAUUGAUUCUAGAAAUAAUAGUAGGUACCUUAACGAGUAAUUUAAGUAACGGUCUCCGAAAAACGAGGAAGAAAAAGUUGUUAUUCGAUUCUGAAAUCGAUGGUAUCGCGGAUCAAGCAGGAAGUAAUGGUGUCUUAAUUAUUCGCCGCAUUUAUUGUCGUCAAUUACGGAAAGAA